CCCUGGUGUGUUGGCCCCUGCAGCUCCAGCAGGUUAAUGAUAAACCGAAGCGGUGCAAGCAGCUGUAGCGCACAACACAGCUCCUAAGAAAUACCGGAAUCAAACUACAAAUGUUAUUUUGCGCAGAGCUGUCAAUACCGGGACCGUAUUUGACCCCGAGAGGGCACAAACCUACGUCGAGCGCAAUGUUACACUGAAGUUAGUAUUAUACACUUAAGUGGGACGGUGUUAAAGUUUACUACAGGUAGGAAGUACAACAGAAAUUACCGCGGUCAGAGUUGGCUGGGGCUGGGGUGAGCGGACUAUUCAUAGGCUGAUAAAAACCCGGAGAUGGACCGGUACAGGUACUUCAAUUUGAACCAGAAAAGCGUGCUCGGCCUCGGUGUCCUCCAGGUGGCUUGUGCAGGUCUCUGUAUGGUCUGCGGCUUUAUGGACGCUGUUUUCCGCAAGGAUACCGUGCUGAGUUGCACCAGGACGCCGGUGUGGGGAGGACUGGUGAGAUACUGCCCCUUUGUUAGAAACUCUUGCCGACAGAUCAUGGCCUCUCCAGGUGUUUUGGCGCUGUUGGCUUCACAAAGAAAAAAUUCCGUUUUGGUGAGUGUGAUGGUGGCAGCAGCAGGACUCUCCUGUGUGGCUGUGCUGUUUAUUUCUGGUUAUGCCUGUCUGACGCUCACUUAUGGAGAGGAGGAUGAAGAUGUCUUUCACCACCACGACAGUCCUCAAGUGACUUUUGUGCUUCAUCGGAUGGUGAAGGGGGCCAAUGCCACCAUACUGCUGACCUGCACCAUCAGCCUGAGUCUUUCCACUUUCAUUGCCUACGUGGGCUGCCGCAGUUUGCCCUGCUGUGGCUGCUAUGAUGCCAGAACUGGACUGAAUAUACCUGUGCUGUGGAUUUUUGUUCGGUGCUGAAGGGAAUUCUGCUGUCUUUUCACAACUGUUACAAGAGUUCCUGUUUCUGGCUAACGUCAACUUCUGCUGCAGCUGACUGGUUGAUAUCAAGUGCUGUGUGUUUUUUUUUAAAUGACAAAAUUGUUAACUUUCACAAUGAUCAGUUGCUCAUUCCAAAGACAUGGACACCAAACAAGCUACUUGACUUUUGUGGAUUAUUCAACAUAUUUGUGAUUGCCAAGUCUAAUUUGUUCUACACCAUACAGGCAUUUCAAUGCACGUGUUCAGUGAUGCAUGAAGGCGGGUGUGGAAGGACAAUAUGAAGUACUGAAGGUUGGGUUAGUUGUACCUGCAAUAACUUCAAUCUAUUUUCAACCCUAGUCAAAAUAAAUACUAAAUAAGCAUUAGGGCAGCUGUACAUACUAACACUGGAUGGUUACAGUUUGAAGAAGAGGUCAAAGGUUGAACUGCAAUCACCCUGGGUUGUGUAGUCCAAAGACAGGAUAACACAGAUCCCUCUGUUCAGGACAUGCUGUUGGUUAAACAAAGAAGUUCUACUCUAAGAACAACAUUUUUGUUGAGUUUUUGUCACCAAGGAUGUAACUUUUUUUAAUCCAAGAACUGACCUUUCUGUGACUGUUAACAAUUUGUGUGUCUAUGAUGUAGGAGACCCUGGUCCCUCAGUGCGACCCUGGGGACACUGAGAUGGUUUGUACCUGGCAAGCAGGAGGUGAUGACAGGCUUUUUAACUCUCCACCUCAGUCCACUGAGCAGUACACCGCUGAGGAAGAAGGACCCUCCAAACUACCUCCAUAC